GCUGGCGCAGGCUAUGGGCUGGGCGGCGGUUGAGACAGCGGCGGUAUCGGGAGGGGUAGGUGAGGGUCGCGAGGCUGCGUGAGCAUCUGAGUGAACGCGGUGCUUUUGGGAACGCGGGACGGGCGACCUGUGGCGCCAGGAGCGGGCCGAGGCGUGGCGCACGGAUGCCGUCUGGAUGGGAAGUUACGGUUUACAGCGAAGUCCACCCAGCGUUUCCGAGGCUGGUGAUGGGCAAGCCGGGUGUACCAAGUCCAGGAUGCACAUGAGGAGCGUUUGUAGCAGUCACUGAAUCACCUCAUGACUAGCGGGGCAGGCCUCUAAUUCACCGCAGGAUUUCCGGUAGGUUGGAUUGUGGGGUUGGUGUUUGCACUCCAAAGAGUUGCUGUGAUUUCCCUGUAUCUGUCUUUCUGGCUUGUUAGAUCUUCUCAUUUGGCGUCCUUUCUCCGAAGAGUUAACCAAGACGUUUGGCAUGGUUUCCUUGCUUUCCUCCUAUCUUUUGCUGCUAGAGCUGCUUUCGAAAAGAAGUCUUUUCUUGCAGUGGUAUCUUUUCUUUGGGUUACAGUGUUGUUCAUCCUUUCUUUGCCGAAAGAAUGAAUCCCAGUGCUUCACAAGGUUAAAGGAAAGAUCUGCUGGUAGUGUUUAGUCUUUGUUCUGAGCUGAUAUGUGUUAGUAGCUUUUUGUUUUUAAAUUUUAUUAGUAAAAUUUCACCAGUGAACCAGAAGCUCUUUUUUUC
rnacentral:lncRNA from 1 species